CUCAUGGGACUCUCAACGAAGACAGAAACAAAUCCCUUGUAAAAUUUCCAAACAAGCCAUUUAUUGAGUCCAAACAAACCAUGAGCGUUGUAGCAUUACUAUUCAUCUACAGUGAUGUGAACUGUAAAUGAUCCCUUCACUUACUUAACUUGACUCCUUUUAGACCUAAAAUUAGGGAUUUAAAGAUCAUAUACUACAACCUUGAUUGGCUGUCAUUGGCCUCUGAACAAUUUUUUCAAAAACCCUAAUGAUUCCAAUCCAAGGCCUGCAAUUAAGGGACUUUAAAUCAGCAUUAUUUCAGGUUAUUGAAUGUGUUGCAAUAUACUCCCCAUCAUUCCCUUCCACUAGGUGGAUUUGGUCCCUGAGGUCUUCUUGACGACUUCUAUCCUAAUACUCUACCAUUGGAUAUUCAAUAUUUAUUGUUUAAGACCAACGCCAGACUCCCUCAUGAUUAAAAAAUUUGAUAGCUGAUGCAUUACCUCUCCUUCUAUAGUCAUGCACCAUUUGAUU
rnacentral:lncRNA from 1 species